GUCAGGAUGGCCCGAGGCGGUCUAAGGCGCGCGUUCAGGUCGCAGUCUCCCCUGGAGGCGUGGGUUCAAAUCCCACUUCUGACA
rnacentral:tRNA from 1 species